rnacentral:tRNA from 1 species
GUGUAAAAAGCGAAGGUUUGCGUACGGUUUCGGCCCGUAAGUUGGGGAAAUUUAAAUCCUCUUUACACU